GGAAAGCAAAGAAAGCCCACGAUGAGAUGAACCCCAUGAAAUCGGCAGAAAUGGCCCGACUUCUGCUCCAUCCGAAUCAUCUAAAAGUAAAGCUGGACGCACAUAAAAUCACUCAGGUGAAGCACCCAUGAACCAGAUGAUGCAGUUUUCUUGGUUACAGGUGAUCUUAAGCCUUCACAUUGUUCAGUGAAAGAGAAUCCAAGAACUGGGGAGCAUAGUGGGCAAUGGAGCGGCAGUCUGCUAAAAAAUUAUCAGCAAGUGAUACAAGAGGAGUCUCACGGCCGGAAAACGCGAAUUGGGGCAAAAUAAUAGUCUUUAUCAUGGGUCUAAUUGCCGCCGAUCACAAAAUGUAGAACGGAAGCCGAACGAUCGAAUUCGUGAGGAAGACCCAGAUUUGGAGAUUUCAGUUGACG
rnacentral:lncRNA from 1 species